AUUGAACGCUGGCGGUAUGCUUAACACAUGCAAGUCGAACGGUAGCAGCUCUUCGGAGGCUGACGAGUGGCGGACGGGUGAGUAACGCGUAGGAAUAUGCCUUAAAAGAGGGGGAUAACCUGGGGAAACACAGGCUAAUACCGCGUGUACUCUGAGGAGUAAAGCUGGGGACCUUCGGGCCUGGCGCUUUAAGAAUAGCCUGCGUACGAUUAGCUAGUUGGUGGGGUAAGGCCUACCAAGGCGACGAUCGUUAGCUGGUCUGAGAGGAUGGCCAGCCACACUGGGACUGAGACACGGCCCAGACUCCUACGGGAGGCAG
rnacentral:rRNA from 1 species